AACGAACGCUGGCGGCAUGCCUAACACAUGCAAGUCGAACGAGACCUACGGGUCUAGUGGCGCACGGGUGCGUAACGCGUGGGAACCUGCCCUUAGGUUCGGAAUAACUCCCCGAAAGGGGUGCUAAUACCGGAUAAUGUCUUCGGACCAAAGAUUUAUCGCCUGUGGAUGGGCCCGCGUUGGAUUAGCUAGUUGGUAGGGUAAAAGUCUACCAAGGCGACGAUCCAUAGCUGGUCUGAGAGGAUGAUCAGCCACACUGGGACUGAGACACGGCCCAGACUCCUACGGGAGACAGCAGUAGGGAAUAUUGGACAAUGGACGAGAGCCUGGUCCAGCAAUGCCGCGUGAGUGAUGAAGGCCUUAGGGUUGUAAAGCUCUUUUACCCGGGAUGAUAAUGACAGUACCGGGAGAAUAAGCUCCGGCUAACUCCGUG
rnacentral:rRNA from 1 species